rnacentral:tRNA from 1 species
UCCCUAGUGGCUCAGUUGGUAAAGAAUCUGCCUGCAAUGCAGGAGACUCAGGUUCAAUACCUGAGCCGGGAA